rnacentral:tRNA from 1 species
GCCUGGGUGGCUCAGUCGGUUGAGCAUCGGACUUCAGCUCAGGUCACGAUCUCACGGUUUGUGGGUUCGAGUCCCGCAUCUGGCU